UACGGAGGGGGCGAGCGUUAUUCGGAAUUAUUGGGCGUAAAGCGCGCGCAGGCGGUCCUUUAAGUCUGAUGUGAAAGCCCACGGCUCAACCGUGGAGGGUCAUUGGAAACUGGGGGACUUGAGUGCAGAAGAGGAAAGCGGAAUUCCACGUGUAGCGGUGAAAUGCGUAGAGAUGUGGAGGAACACCAGUGGCGAAGGCGGCUUUCUGGUCUGUAACUGACGCUGAGGCGCGAAAGCGUGGGGAGCAAACAGG
rnacentral:rRNA from 1 species